rnacentral:tRNA from 1 species
GGGCGGUUAGCUCAGUGGUGAGAGCGCUUGUUUCACACGCAAGAGGUCAGAGGUUCAAAUCCUCUACUGCCCACCA